ACAGAGGUCUUCCUAGAUGUGUUCUGCAAGUUGCCCCCUCACUCCAGAACCUUCGACCACACCCUAGUGCCAGCAGGUUUGAGACUAAUGUAGCAAUAAAUUGAAUGAAGAUGGCUCAGAUGGUCUACAUAAUGAGAAACCAGACAACAUGGAGCUAGAGGACUUCUGCAUUUUCUCAGGGGAAGGACAGGACCUCGGAAAGUUGUGAUGUUAGUUUUUAACACACGGAAUCCAGGGCAAGUGGGUAUGCUGCCUUUUGGGUCAAGCCACUGCAAGUUUUUGGUUUGGAGUCACUCUCAUUUCUGCUUCCUGGUUUGGGGGUCCUCACCCUUCUGUGACGGCUGAGAUUCCCGGGUGCCCAUGGAGGUUAGAGAAAAAACAAAGAGCUGGUGUGGCAUCAUGGGGAGAAAUGGAGUCCUUGGGGAGGUCAGAGUGCCAGCCCAUCACUUGCUGACUCGGUUUCAUUCUUUGUCUAUUCUGUGUCAUGACCCUCUCCAGGGACCAAUAGUACCUGAAGCGGAGUUUCAAAGGUAGCUGCUGAGUCGGGGAGAAAGAAUUAAAAACACUUGGUGUCUUUUCCCUUUCAUCCUUCCAUCUGUUUCUCACUUCCACUUUCUUCCCUUCAAGCUCCAGCUUUUAGAACAAAGGGCCACACUGGAAACUUUCUGUUGAGUACAAACAAUAAAUCGAUACCGAAGACA